UCCAGUCACGGGAGCUGGGUUGUUUGUCUAUCCAGAUCCGGAACGGACCGAUGGGCACCGAUCCAUCCAAACCACCCUUCUCUUCCUCCUCUCUUCCACCACCAGCAGGCGGCAGCAGCAGCGACCUCGUCGUCGUCCUCAAUUCGAUCAAAUUCAAAAUCCCCCCGUGCUGACUGCUGUAUUGGACUCCUUGCCCGUCGCCCGCCGUGGUUGCUCUGUACUGAACUCGAUUCCUCACUCCUGCCCCGUGCUGUUGACCAGACGACGCAGCAGAUCCAUCCGCUUCCUCUUGUGCUGCUCUGCCUCCCUCUUCAAGUCACCUUUCAAAGCCAUGUCACAUUUGAUUGUUUGGAGGUGGCGCGGGUGCCUGAAUCGGUAGGAACAACUCCAAGGUGAAUUUUACUAGCAUUAUUGUUGCAACAGAGGAAAACUGGCAGUCAGUGGCACUGGGGACAAGAAUAUUUCGUUGUCAGUGGCACUGGGGACAAGAAUAUUUCGUUGUCGAGACCAAGUGACCCAGGGGCAUUCAAGUCUAUUGUCAGGCCACUUAACUGCCGUUAGGCUUCAAAAUAGACGGAAUGACACACGGGUAUAGUCGAAGAUGAAGUUGGGCACAGCGGUGCGAAACAACUUUUUAAUGGCAUCGUGGUUUGGUGAAUCUUUCGUAAUGGCAUACAGGUAAAAGCCUCCGGUCCCGGACCCAACAACAACAAACAUCGGACCCAACAACAACUAAACCAGACGCAUGCAUCUUGAAGCCAAUCGAACGGACAGAAACGUCGCCUGAGAGGGAGCCCAGAAUUCAGGCAACUGAGGAAUAGGAAAAGUGAAAAAAAAAACACUAUUAUUUGAACUUCCCAUCUGCAACAUGCGCAUGAGAUACUUCAUCAUCAACCCAUAGCAGUCUACAUACAUAAUAUAUGCUCAUUCAUCUUUAUAAAUUAAAAACACAAUGCAUACACUAUAUUCUUGUGAGCAGACGUUCGCUUGUCUUUUCGGCCGUACUUUUUCUACCAGCCAACAGUAUUUUUCUCUCACGAUAAAUCAGCGAACAUAUAGUUUAGUGCUAGAAAAAAUCUAAAAAAAUAUGAGUGCUCAUGUCCAUGCAAGUUGAGAAUUAUUUAAACUCGAGUAGAUGGGCCCCUCUACAAAAAGAUUGCUAAGUUCACAAGCUAUAGAUUCAUUUAUCAUGCCCAUUCAUCUUAUUAAACAUCUUAUUAAACAUCUAUAAAAAAACAAAAACAAAAUUUUCUUAAAAUAAUUACCCUCAUAAAAGUAGAAUGCAAUAAAUUUCGCCAAUUCUAAAAUUCCCUUGCAGCAUGGCCAUUGCUCGUCUAUACUAAUGUGGUAUUAUCUAGAUAGUGUGAGUAGUGAAGGUGGAGAGAACUAUGAGGACUAGUUAACUGAUAUUGAUAUUGAUAUAGAUCAGUUGGUUCGGUUUUUGUGGUAGAGUUUGUCCAUCCAAAUUCAAUUCAUCGACUUAACAUAGGGGUUUGUAUUUUUUUGAAUUUAUUUUUAAUUUAACGGGGCUAUAUUUUUAGUGGUAAAUGACGUUUCUAUCGAUAAAGACGCUCGUGAUAAUUUCGUGAAUGUCAAGAUCUGCCGGCUCAUUCCUUCGAAGGUGCUUAUAGGGGUAGAAUUUACAUACGUAUGUUCAUAGAGAUAAAUAUACAUGUAUAUGUGGAUGUUUAUGUUGUACCAUGUAAUUUUAAAAAAAAAGUGAGGACGAGAUAUAAAGAAAAUAAUGGAAGAAGGAAAAAAGAAUAAGGUGAGACAUAAAGAAAACAAUGGAAGAAGGAAAAACAAUGAGGUGACCACGUGUUAUUAUCUAUUUUUUUGGGCAAAUAGAUAGAUUUAUUGGAUACGAUUACAAGGUCACAGUCAUCAAACUAGGGCCUUGUUUAGUUUCAAAAAAAAAAUUGCAAAAAGUUUCAGAUUCCCGUCACAUUAAAUUUUGCG